CAUUACUCUUAUAUAUAUAUCUUCUUCAAUAGUAACCAUAUAUCUUCGAUGAUUACACCAUAUCAUAUCUUGAUCCAAAUGUCAUAAAUUCCAAACGAGAUAGCUGAUAACAACGUGUAAAAAUACACAAACAUUUUUCUUGAAUUACAACAACGAAAAAAGUAAAAUAAAGCAAACCAAAAAAAAAAAAAAAGAAAUCAAAUACAUGGGGAAGAAAAUUAAAUAUCUACAGCUUGAUGAUCAUGCAGAUUCGCAAUUGCCAUUGGUAAAUAUUAUUAUAAUAAAAUAACAAUAUUCAAUAAUUAGGCGUUGCUCCUGAAUGAUCCCAGAGCUUUGAAGGCUCCUGCCCUCAAAAUGUAAACGUGGUAUAAUGCAGCAAUCGCAGCUCCAAUAAAUGGUCCAACCCAGAAUAUCCACUGCAAAUAUACAACAAUACAUAUUAAUAAUAAUCAUAUAAAUACACAUUAAUUUAUUAUUUAUAUGAGAAGAUUGAAUUAAUGAACAAAGAGAUGAGAAGAAGUAAUUACAUGAUCAUCCCAGGCCUUGUCGUCGUUGAAGAUGACGGCGGCGCCGAAGCUCCGAGCAGGGUUGAUGCCGGUGCCGGUGAUCGGGAUGGUGGCCAGGUGAACCAUGAACACCGCGAAUCCAAUUGGAAGCGGAGCCAACACCUUCAUUUAUCAUCAGUUACAAUAUCGUAUCGUCAAUACAUGUCAUGUAUAUAAAAUUUAUUAAGUUAAUCAUUGGGCUGGUUUGAUCCGAUAGCAAGACACCCAAAGAAAAACCUUAGCCCAAUUAAUUAUUAGAAACUAUUGAUCGGAUUUGAAGCAUCCACUGUGGUGCUACUCUAUAUUAAUGUCACAUCAUCAUAUUUCUUUAUUUUAGACUUACCUAAAUUUUUCUCUACUAAAACCUAAUAUUUAACUAUUUAUGGACUCCACUGUGAACAAAAUCAAUGCAUUAAUAAUCCACAAUUAAUGCGAUGUGUAUGGAAGAGCACAUAUAUAUUAAAGAAUUAAAUACUAAGAUAUGCUUAUAAAGUGGAGAAAGACACCCACCAAUUAAUUUACUAAUAAUUAAUAAACUUGUAAAAUUAGUAUUAUUUUUUUGUAAAUAUUAAUUAUGUGCGAAUAACAGCAUGAAAAGAUCCCACUUAUUAAUCACGAACGGAAGUACCACUUUUUUUUACUAAAAUCAUACUCUCUCUCCGUUUCACUAAAAGUGGCUUGUAUUUCAUUUUGAGUCUUCUAACUAUAACUGACAUAUUUCCACAAAAAGAAAAGUUCAAUCCUUAAAAAAUAUGGACCCCACCAGUUUUAACAAAUUCACACAUUUUCUUUAAUUCUCGCGCCGAAAAAUUUUGAACCACUUAAUAGGGGCACCGAGGGAAUAUUUAAUUUCAGUAAAAUUAAUAUUAUAAUUAUAUUUUUAAAAAAUUUAGUAUAAUUGUGUUAAAUAUUUAAAAAAAAAUCAGAAAAACAAUAGUCAAAAAAGAAGAAGAAGAAGAAGAAGUUGAUGGACUCACCGGAACAUGGGAGUCGCGAGCGCUCCUCUUGGGAUCGGUGGCGGAGAAGACGGUGUAGACGAGAACGAAGGUGCCGAUUAUCUCGGCGCCGAGGCCGGUGCCCUUGUUGUACCCUUCGCUGAGCGAAUUCGCUCCGCCGCCGUAGCGGUUGUAGUAUGACUUCUGGAAGGCCUUGACCAGCCCGACGCCGCAGAUGGCGCCGAGGCACUGCGCCACCAUGUACAUCACCGCCCUGAUGAGCGACACCUUCCGCCCCAGGAAGAGCCCGAAGGUGACGGCGGGGUUGAUGUGGCCGCCGGAGAUCCCGGCGGUGCAGUACACGAGGAUGAAGAUCAUGCCGCCGAAGGCCCACGCGAUGCCCAGGAUGCCCACGCCGCCGCACUCGUCGGUGGCGCUCUGGCUCUUGUAGCCGAUGACGGUGAGCACCGUCACGUAGAGGAAGAGCAGCGUCGCCACGAACUCCGCCACCAGCGCGCGGUAGAACGACCACUUUGUCAGCUCCUCGAAGUCGAUCAGCGGCGCCGGGGGCGGGUCGUGGUAGUCCUUCGCGGAGUACUCCGCCGGCGGCGGCGCUGCUUCCACAUCCUUCGUCAUUAAUUAAUUAUGAUAUAAUUAGUGUGUGUGUGUGUGUGUG